rnacentral:antisense_RNA from 1 species
CUUCACCGAGCCGAGCAGCACCGGCUCGGUGCGGUCCCGGCCGUAGGUGGCCAGCACCGCCUGCGCCUC